GAUGAACGCUGACAGAAUGCUUAACGCAUGCAAGUCUUUGGCGAAGCUGUGCUUGCACAGCCUAGCCAAGGCGGACGGGUGAGUAACGCGUAAGGAACUUGCCCUGCAGUCAGGGAUAACAGACGGAAACGACUGAUAAGACCUGGUAAAGUCAGGCGGACUCAUGUCCAGCCUGAUGAAAAGAGAUGCUGCAGGAGAGCCUUGCGUCCUAUUAGCUUGUUGGUGGGGUAACGGCCCACCAAGGCGAUGAUAGGUAGCCGGCCUGAGAGGGUGGACGGCCACAAGGGGACUGAGAUACGGCCCUUACUCCUACGGGAGGCAGCAGUGGGGAAUAUUGGACAAUGGGGGCAACCCUGAUCCAGCAAUUCUGUGUGCACGAUGAAGGUUUUCGGAUUGUAAAGUGCUUUCAGCAGGGAAGAAAAAAAUGACGGUACCUGCAGAAGAAGCGACGGCUAAAUACGUG
rnacentral:rRNA from 1 species